GGCCAAGUUACGAAGGGCGUAUGGGGGAUGUCUUGGCAUCAGGAGGCUAUGAUGGGCGUGGAAGUCUGCGAAAAGCUCGGGGGAGCUGACAAACAAGUAUUGAUCCCGAGAUACCCUAGCUAACGUGGUGAACUGAAACAUCUCAGUAACCACAGGAAGAGAAAGAAAAAUCGAUUUCGUAAGUAGCGGCGAGCGAAAGCGAAAUAGCCCAAACCGUGGGGGUUUCCCUCGCGGGGUUGUAGGGUCUUUCACAUGAGAGUCACAAAAUUGCUUGCUAGUAGAACGCUUUGGAAAGGGCGACCACAGAGGGUGACAGUCCCGUACACGAAAGCGAGCAAUCUCUCGAAGGAUACCUGAGUAGGUCGGGCCACGUGGAAUCCCGACUGAACCUACGGGGACCAUCCCGUAAGGCUAAAUACUAC
rnacentral:rRNA from 1 species